CGGAGGGGGCUAGCGUUGUUCGGAAUUACUGGGCGUAAAGGGCGCGCAGGCGGCUGCUCAAGUCAGGCGUGAAAGGCCUGGGCUCAACCCGGGAAUUGCGCUUGAGACUGGGCUGGCUUGAGUGCGGGAGAGGGUGGUGGAAUUCCCAGUGUAGAGGUGAAAUUCGUAGAUAUUGGGAAGAACACCGGUGGCGAAGGCGGCCAUCUGGACCGCAACUGACGCUGAGGCGCGAAAGCGUGGGGAGCAAACAGGAUUAGAUACCCUGGUAGUCCACGCCGUAAACGAUGAGUGCUAGACGUUGGGGAGCCUAGCUUUCCGGUGUCGCAGCUAACGCACUAAGCACUCCGCCUGGGGAGUACGGCCGCAAGGUUA
rnacentral:rRNA from 1 species